rnacentral:rRNA from 1 species
AAAGNCCUUAUGCUUUUGGAGCNGCCGAUGUCUGAUUAGCUAGUUGGUAAGGUAAUGGCUUACCAAGGCAACGAUCAGUAGUUGGUCUGAGAGGACGACCAGCCANACUGGNACUGAGACACGGCCCAGACUCCUACGGGAGGCAGCAGUGGGGAAUUUUGGACAAUGGGCGCAAGCCUGAUCCAGNAAUGCCGCGUGAGUGAAGAAGGCCUUCGGGUUGUAAAGCUCUUUCAGUUGAGAAGAAAAGAUUGUGACUAAUAAUUGCAAUUCAUGACGGUAUCAACAGAAGAAGCACCGGCUAACUACGUGCCAGCAGCCGCGGUAAUACGUAGGGUGCGAGCGUUAAUCGGAAUUACUGGGCGUAAAGGGUGCGCAGGCGGUUCUGUAAGUCAGAUGUGAAAUCCCCGGGCUUAACCUGGGAACUGCGU